rnacentral:lncRNA from 1 species
UCAUAACCAACUUUUAACCACUUAGAUACUACAUAUUUAAUUCAGUCUGCCAACAUAAAUAAGCAAUAUCUGAAUUCACAUGCCAUUACAAAAUGAUAAGUUUUGAAAUUACUACUGCGGCGAAUCUAGAACUUUUAGAAAAACCAAACAUACCAAUAGAAUCAAUUACAUUAAAACACGGAGAUAAAGGAAGUUGGGCUGCUAGAGGAAAAGAACUGCGGAAAAAUAACAAACACCUGAAAAAAGACAGUUAAAUUUGAGACUGUCAGUCGCGAGAGUGAGUUAAAAUCAUAAAUCCAAAAAAGAGUACAACCACCUCAAUAAAACAUUUGUUUCAUCAAAAUAAAAUAUCAGGUCAUGUAAAAACACGUGUCAUGCCAUGAUUCAACAAAAUAUAUUUUACAUGCUACGGGACAAGUAUCUCAGCAGAACCCUAACCCCAAUACUAAUAGACUUUUUGGCUCUCCCAUUUCAACAGAAUUAGCGCCCAGAGAGCGCAGCUCGACCAGAGUCGUUAAAUCUAGUCUGGUUACUUAAUCUCUAAUAAAGCUGGCGCCCAGAGAGAAACGCUCGACCAUAUACCUUUAAUCCGGCAAUCAAACUCUUCUAGCCUAGAGAGUUGAACUCGACCAGGGUAAGUCUUAAAUUAUUCUUUUACUACCUGUCUCAGAUUUAUACCGAUGCGCAUGCGGUCCUGAUGCAACUCAUCAGGUGGCAUGUUCUACUGCGUCUCAUCCCGAGUCAACAUGCAUUCACAAUAUUAAUGAUGUAGAAAAUGAUAUAGGAAUAGUAAAUAAAUAAAUAUAAAUCUUCAAAUCAAUAAAUCAGAAUUGCUAUAUAAAACUUUAGCAUGACACAAGUAUAACAGAUAUAUGACUUUAAUUCAUAGUUCUGAUGAUUCACUUGCUCUGCUCUUAUGCCUCGGGUGAGGGGAUUUGAAAUGAUAGAUUAUCUAUUCAUGGGAACAAUUCAAUUAAUAAAAGUAAAAAAUUUAAUAAAAAACCCUAGGCCUAGACUCCUAAAAUUGACUGUCUAAGAAUUUCGACUCAAAAAAAAAAAAUUCUACCGAAAAUUCGGCAAAACUUUCCUUAAAAUACGAACAUUUACCUCCCAUAUAACGGGUCUAGGACCUACCAGGAACAUUUCUAAUAUUCAUCAAUUAAUUAAGGGAAGUCAGGCUACCAAAACUACACCAUUUUUUCCAAUUAUGCAACACACCACAGAUUACAAUUAUUGGCAGACAGUCCGACAUAAUAUUUAUUUCGACAAUCAACCUACACAUGAUUUUCUAGUAUCAAACUGAUUCAACUCCAUCAUAUCCACCACAAAACUACACAAUAAUUAAUCAAUAUAGAUUUUUAAUUAACAAUCUCUAAAAUCAAGAAGCUAAAGAACUAUCGAGACGCUUGAUAAAUCGGUCACUAUGAUGAUCUAGCAGCCGAUUCUCCAAUCCAGUACCCGAUCAUCCGGAGAAAAUCAUGGACAGUAUCAACCGUCGAUUUUCAAACGGAGUCCGAUUGACGUAAAAUUAAUGCCAUUGGAAAGCUUGAGCUGAGGGGAGUUCAUCAUGAACUCCGAUCAACCAUACCUUGCCAGUACUCACCAAAAAUCAAGAAAAACCCAAACUGCCACUACACUAUUCACCUCGUCGGAUUUUGCAAUUCCGGCAGCCUCAAGGGGUGACGAUGGGCGGAAAAGGAAGCCUAGAAGUUGCUGAUAAUUUUGAGCCCAGAACCAUCGGCAAUGAUUGUCGGAAAUGCCAUGAACGAUGGUAAGAAAGCUGCGGCUGCCUUUCUCUUUUCCGCGCCUGCCAUCGCCAUUCACUGCCGCCGCCGUCGCCACAAGCGUGCUCGCCGUUGAUAGUUGCAUCUCUCGCCAUCGCCACCACCCUCAACCGAGAUUCCUCCACCAAUCUGCCAUUGAUGCCGAAGCAAGCUUCCUCUUCCCUCUUCUUCUUCGUUCUCUUUCUUUCCUUUUCUUUUCUUUUUUUUUUUUCCUUUUUUUUUUAUCGCAAAUUGGUCC